rnacentral:snRNA from 1 species
GGAUGUGAGGGCGAUCUGGCUGUGACAUCUGUCACCCCACUGAUCGCCAGGGUUGACCCAGGAGAGGACCAGUCUUUGGUCAAGGGUAUACGAGUAGCUGCGCUCCCCUGCUAGAACCUCCAAACAAGCUCUCAAGAAAGUACGCCCUGUCCCACCCUAUCCAGUCUGAUGUUUAUGGUCUCCUUUUUUAAAAAAAAAAAUAUAUUUUAUUGAUUUUUU